rnacentral:lncRNA from 1 species
UGUUGAAGCAAGGAACUUGGAGAAAAAAUCAAAGGAAGAGAUGAAGAAGCCAGAGUCAUGCAUAGAUGGAGGGUCCAGUGGUGGUUAGGGUGGAGGAAGUGGUGGUUUAGGAGGAGGGUACGGAGGUGGAGCUGGUAGUGGUUUAAGUGGUGGAUUUGGAGGAGACGGUGGAGGUGGUAGUGGUCUAGGUGUUGGAAUUGGUGGACUUGCAGGUGGUGCCAGUGCCGGUGCUGGGAUAGUUUGUGGAAUUGGUGGAAUUGGUGGAGGCAUUUACAAGGGAAUUGGAAUUGGAGGUGUUGGAGGUGGUGUAGGUGCCAUAGGUGGAAUUGGUGGUGUCAUUGGUGGUUUCGAGCAUGUUGACGACAAUAAGCCUUGAAACAUUUACCUUAAAUAAUUGCAGACUCGUGACGAUAUAGUUCUAUCAUCAGUGUUUCAUUUUCGCUUGCUAUUUUAAUUUGUUUUCAUUUUGUAUCCACAAAUAAGUUCACCUACGUACCUAGAUGCAUGCAUGCUAAAUUUUCAUGUUAUGUAAAAGAUUCCAAGAAUAUAUACUUGUCGUACAACAUUGCAUGUCUUGAAUUGUAUACAUAUAUCUUUGCAUUACGAGGAUGCUGAGUUGCUGUUAUAGUAAUUUUCAAAACAUAUAUGUACUGAACUUUAAACGUACAUUGUUUUCUGUUUGUUGUUCCAUUUUUGUUUCUAUAUCGCCUUAUAUUUCUCAUUGCCACCUUAGGAUAAGGCAUGAUGGCUUUAGAUUUCUAUAUUUUUUUUUUAUUUUUCCUUUUAGUUCAUAUUCUUCUUUCUUUCAAACAAAUUUUAAUUCAGUUUUAAUUCUUUUCUUUUUCAUUUUAAUAUUUUUACUGUCCCCA